rnacentral:misc_RNA from 1 species
GUUUGAUAAGAAAAUCGCACACAACUCUUAUUUUAAUCAAUCAAAUGUGACUACACACAUUUAUAAUGGGUAUAAAAAUUGAGGUUUGGCAAACCCAAGAUAGCGGUGGAAAUUAAAAUAGAAACAGUGAUGUUGCAUUGGAAAAGGAAGGUGGCAGGGUGAUGGGUAAAUGGUGGUCUGCGUGGCUAAAGUCCACUUACAUACUCUGCAGUGCGUCUAUAAAUUAAAGGAAGCCUCUUUCGUUUUCCCUUGCCUCCAUUGCCUCAAUUAAUUGAGUCCAGCCAAAACAAAACAUCCCUGUUCUCUCCGACAACCAUCUCAUUCUCAUCUUCCUAAACCCUCCAAAAUCCAUUUGUUCAACAACACCAUCAAUUAGUAAUGGAGAAAAAAAUUCUUGACUACACCUUGGUUCCACUGGGGCUGGCUAUAAUGGUGGCGUAUCACUUAUGGCUUUUCAAUCGAAUCAUGAACCACCCUUCCAAGACUGUUAUUGGUGUCAAUACCAUCAAUCGCCGCUUCUGGGUUCAGACCAUGAUGGAGGACAACGCCAAGAAUGGAGUUCUUGCUGUGCAGACUCUGCGAAACAAUAUAAUGGCAUCUACAGUUUUGGCAUCCACGGCCAUCAUGCUCAGCUCCGUUAUUGCUUUGCUCAUGACCAAGGACAUCAGAGCGGAUCGAUCUGCUUGGACUUUUGACUCUGGGGAUACCAGUGAGAUGGGAUUGUCUAUAAAGUUCUUCUCUAUAUUGGCAUGUUUCUUGGUGGCUUUCUUGCUGAACGUGCAAUCCAUUAGGUACUAUAGCCAUGCAAGCAUCCUCAUUAACGUCCCCUUCAAGAACUUGUUACCUGAUCACCACCACCACCAUCUGACAGCGGAGUAUGUGGCUAGGUCAGUCAACAGGGGUAGCCAUUUUUGGUCAUUAGGACUACGUGCCUUUUACUUCUCUUUCCCUCUGUUUUUGUGGAUCUUUGGGCCAAUUCCUAUGUUUUUGUGUUGUUUUGUCCUGGUUUUCAUGCUCUAUUUUCUGGAUGUCACCUUUGAGUGUAGCUGGGCUGUUUAUGAUCACAAGGACCAGGAGAUUGAGACCCAAAAUGAAACUUGAUUUUAUAGUACUAGAAAUUAGGUUAAAAAAAAGUGCAUUUUGCAUUCAAUAUUCAAUCCAAAAGUUGAAUAGAAUUAAAUUGCAAAUGCACGUUAUAUAUAUAAUGUUCCUGAUAUGUAAUCAAUAAUGUUAUAAUAAGUUUUAGCAUAAUGAU